GAGGAAUAUUGGUCAAUGGGCGAGAGCCUGAACCAGCCAAGUAGCGUGCGGGAUGAAGGCCCUUGUGGUCGUAAACCGCUUUUAUCAGUGAAUAAAAUGCAUCACGUGUGGUGUCAUUGCAGGUAGCUGAAGAAAAAGGACCGGCUAAUUCCGUGCCAGCAGCCGCGGUAAUACGGAAGGUCCGGGCGUUAUCCGGAAUUAUUGGGUUUAAAGGGAGCGCAGGCGGGAGUAUAAGUCAGCUGUUAAAUAUCAGAGCCCAACUCUGUUAUGCAGUUGAAACUAUAUUUCUUGAGUACGCACAGGGAUGGCGGAAUUCAGGGUGUAGCGGUGAAAUGCUUAGAUAUCCUGAAGAACUCCGAUCGCGAAGGCAGCCAUCCGGAGCGUAACUGACGCUGAGGCUCGAAGGUGCGGGUAUCGAACAGGACUAGAUACCCUGGUAGUCCGCACGGUAAACGAUGAAUACUCGCAGUUCGGUCAUUAUGAUUGAGUUGUCCAGCGAAAGCGUUAAGUAUUCCACCUGGGGAGUACGCCGGCAACGGUG
rnacentral:rRNA from 1 species